GCACCAUGCUCGCCCUGGAGGCUGCACAGCAUCAUCUCCCCAGUGCUCCUGGUCUGAGCUGGACCCAUUGCACCGAUGCCGAUGCCAGCUGCUGUCCGCCCCCUCCGCCUCGCCCACACCGCCUCCCGGGGGACUUUCUCCCCUCACUUUCCCUGCUCCCCCAGCGCCUAUCUAUGCAAAUCCGGGAGGGGGACAUUUGCCUGCCCUUUGCCCCCACUUCCUGUCCCAGUGGUGGGGCUGGUGUCACGGAGACACCCAGCAGCCUGCAGAGCUGCGGUGGUCACAGCUGCCGCCUCCCACCCGCCAGCCCAGGUGGCUGAGGUCGGCCCUGACAUGCCCCUGCGUCUCUCCCCUCCAGGCCUCGACGGGCCACACUUCAGCUUUCUGUACCCAGAUGGCGUCUUCUAUGACCUGGACAGCUGCAAGCACCCCGGCUACCCCGACUCAGAGGGGGCUCCUGGUGAGUGACCCCACCUGGCCUGGGGCCCAUUUCCCAGAUCGGGAAGCUGAGGCCCCACGAGGGGGUCUCACCCGCACAGCAGGACCCAGGCGGCCCAGGCGCCUCUUUCCUCUCCACCCACCCGGC
rnacentral:lncRNA from 1 species